UAGGGAAUCUUCCGCAAUGGACGCAAGUCUGACGGAGCAACGCCGCGUGAGUGAAGAAGGAUUUCGGUUCGUAAAACUCUGUUGUUAGAGAAGAACAGCGCAUAGAGUAACUGUUAUGCGUGUGACGGUAUCUAACCAGAAAGCCACGGCUAACUACGUGCCAGCAGCCGCGGUAAUACGUAGGUGGCAAGCGUUGUCCGGAUUUAUUGGGCGUAAAGCGAGCGCAGGCGGUCAAUUAAGUCUGAUGUGAAAGCCCCCGGCUCAACCGGGGAGGGUCAUUGGAAACUGGUUGACUUGAGUGCAGAAGAGGAGAGUGGAAUUCCAUGUGUAACGGUGAAAUGCGUAGAUAUAUGGAGGAACACCAGUGGCGAAGGCGACUAUCUAGUCUGUAACUGACGCUGAGGUUCGAAAGCGUGGGUAGCAAACAGG
rnacentral:rRNA from 1 species